UACAGAGGUCUCAAGCGUUGUUCGGAUUCAUUGGGCGUAAAGGGUGUGUAGGUGGCGCCGUAAGUCGGGUGUGAAAUUUCGGAGCUUAACUCCGAAACUGCAUUCGAUACUGCGGUGCUUGAGGACUGGAGAGGAGACUGGAAUUCAUGGUGUAGCAGUGAAAUGCGUAGAGAUCAUGAGGAAGACCAGUGGCGAAGGCGGGUCUCUGGGCCAUAACUGACGCUGAGGAGCGAAAGCGUGGGGAGCGAACAGG
rnacentral:rRNA from 1 species